ACUUUUUGUCAUUUUUCAUUUCCCUCCAAUCAAUUUUAUACACACUCCUCUGCAGAAGUUCUUUUCAUCUUGGGGAACCACACAACUGAGGAAUACUACCUCCGUCCAAAGCUUAGACAUCCGCUGCCUUUCAUGCGUUAUCCGCCGGUUAGGUUAUGCUUAUUAGGGUUUAGUGAAGCCACCAGCGUAUAAGCUGCCAACAGAGAAGAAGCAACAAUGGUCUUGGCAGGCAGGAUGCGAUAACGAAGUGUCCAAUCUCAUUUCAUGGAAUUCGCGGUAUCGUCGUGACCAUUGAAAGAUAAGUAUUUUACAUGAUGCAAGUUACUGUUGAUUCUGGUGUUUUGUUUGCAACACUGAUGAACAGGCACAAGGAUUGACUCUACUUAAGUUUUUCUAUUCAUAUACUGAGUGUAGAAACUGAAUACUUUGUUUGCUGGAUUGCUGAUUUUUUUGAACAUUUGAGUGAUAUGUUUUUGCACCAUGAUGAGCAUGUAGUUGAGGAUGACGAUGAUGAGGAAGACGAGGACGGCGAUAAUGAUGAGGAAGAUGAUGAUGUAGAAGCUUCAUGUAUCCCGCUGAUGUUUUCAGGAGAGCCAAAAUUCAGUCUUUAUUGGUUUGGCAUCACUCUAAUUUAUGAUAUGUAGCAGGUACUUUACGCGUGUACGUCGAGGGAGCAGACUGCUUAUUAUGCUAAGGUUUCGCUGAAUGAUGUUCCAGUUGCGCUUGAUAUUCUGGCUGAUAUUCUUCAGAAUUCAAAGUUUGAUGAGAAUCGGAUCAGCCGGGAGCGGGAUGUUAUUCUUAGGGAAAUGGAAGAGGUGAUAGCUGCAUCUGGAGCUGUAAAGCAUGAAUAUUUUGUUGAACAGGUGAAAAAAAUAUUUACUAAGUUGUCUACAAAUCCCUCCACAACAUCUCAGUUGGUAGAAAAAGAACCAACAGUUUUUACUGGUUCCGAGGUAAGAAUAUUAAUAUUGAGCAGAUUUGAACCAGUUACCUUAGUUAAUUUACUAACUAUGUUCAUCCUUUGCUCUCAUACCUUUAUGGUUCACUUAACAAAUUGACGAUUUUGCCGUCUGGUUUUGAGGGGAAAAUAAAUAUGAAGGAUUGGAUUGCAAGGUUAUCAAAGAUGGGUGCAGCCGAUGAGGGGAAAACAUGAGCCUAAGAUGCUGAGAAUCAGUGGCUUUUGAAUCAGUGAUGAAUUGCUUACAAUUCUUGAAUUGCCUGGUAGUCUACAUCCCCAAAUAUAAUUACACCUAGAUAGUUGCAAUUGUCUGUAGCCAUGUCUCCCCCGUCACUGCCGACCUCCUCCAACUUCUCCCCUCCCUCCGUCUCAUCUGCGCCCCUAGCGCAGGGACUGAUCACAUUGAUCUCUCCGAGUGUCGCCGUCGGGAUAUCCAGGUCGCCGAUAUCGGAAAUCUUUUCACCGACGAUGUUGCUGAUAUGGCCGUGGGUUUGUUGAUUGACGUCAGCAGGAAAAUUACCGCGGCCGAUCGCUUCUUGAGACGACAGAUUCAACCUUCCUCUUCCGAUUUUCCACUCGGUUCUAAGUUGACAGGUAAAAAGAUUGGAAUUGUUGGGAUGGAAAAAAUUGGGUCAGAAGUAGCAAAGAGGCUUGAAGCAUUCAGCUGCAAGAUAUCAUACAACUCUAGGAACAAAAAACCAUUACUUUCAUACCAUUACUCUAUGAACCUGUUUGUUCUUUUGAUGUUUUUAGGCCAUGCUCGUGUGAUUAGUGAUCAAUAAGUUGUAUGAAUAAAAAAGUUUUUCAUUGUGAUUCUUAUGAGAAAUUCUCUCAACUCUCAGCAUCGUUAGCAGAUUUGGAAAAAUUUACUACUAAAUUUUGAUAA